ensembl:lncRNA novel transcript, antisense to GNG2
GAAAGAAGGCCUGCAAACACAAGGCUAAGGUUCCAACUCACUCCCUGGAGGAUGCUACGUCUCACAGGAAGAUUACAGAGGCGAUUGCAGUAUGAAGGCAACCAGCCAUGUCGUUGCUGUCUGACAAAUGGGAUGCGAUUUUCUUGUGCUUUACACUUGGGGCUCAGAUUAUUUUCGUGGAAAAUUUUUAGCACUUUGAGAUGUUAUAACACUGGCAUCCUAGAGACCGAAAUAUGAAAUAACUUAGUACAAAAUAGGUCCUCGUGGGAAGCCAAUGUGCACGUUUUCCCACCAUAUUCUGCCAACGGUGCACUAUUCUCAACUACUCCAUUUAUCUCUACGGGGCAAAUAAUGGAUGUGUUCCAGCACCCACUCAAUUUCUGUGUUUUCGUCUAGCUGAAAUAAUAAUAGAUGUAAAAUAUGGCUCUCUGUCUAAAAUUAGCCUCUGGUUAGACACUAUCAGCUACCACUCAACACAAGGAAAUUUUACACAGAAAUAAAAUGAUUACAUAGGUAGAAUGAUGCAUGA